rnacentral:rRNA from 1 species
AUUGAACGCUGGCGGCAGGCUUAACACAUGCAAGUCGAGCGGGGUGAUGGUGCUUGCACUAUCACUUAGCGGCGGACGGGUGAGUAAUGCUUAGGAAUCUGCCUAUUAGUGGGGGACAACAUCUCGAAAGGGAUGCUAAUACCGCAUACGUCCUACGGGAGAAAGCAGGGGAUCACUUGUGACCUUGCGCUAAUAGAUGAGCCUAAGUCGGAUUAGCUAGUUGGUGGGGUAAAGGCCUACCAAGGCGACGAUCUGUAGCGGGUCUGAGAGGAUGAUCCGCCACACUGGGACUGAGACACGGCCCAGACUCCUACGGGAGGCAGCAGUGGGGAAUAUUGGACAAUGGGGGGAACCCUGAUCCAGCCAUGCCGCGUGUGUGAAGAAGGCCUUAUGGUUGUAAAGCACUUUAAGCGAGGAGGAGGCUCUUUUGGUUAAUACCCAAGAUGAGUGGACGUUACUCGCAGAAUAAGCACCGGCUAACUCUGUGCCAGCCGCCGCCGUAACAC